UACGAAGGGGGCGAGCGUUGUUCGGAUUUACUGGGCGUAAAGGGCGCGCAGGCGGUCUUGAAAGUCAGGCGUGAAAGCCCCGGGCUUAACCUGGGAAUUGCGCUUGAUACUCUGAGACUGGAGUACGGGAGAGGAGAGUGGAAUUCCCAGUGUAGAGGUGAAAAUUCGUAGAUAUUGGGAAGAACACCAGUGGCGAAGGCGGCUCUCUGGACCGUAACUGACGCUGAGGCGACGAAGCGGUGGGAGCAAACAGG
rnacentral:rRNA from 1 species